AUUGAACGCUGGCGGCAUGCCUUACACAUGCAAGUCGAACGGUAACGGGCCUUCGGGUGCCGACGAGUGGCGAACGGGUGGGUAAUACAUCGGAACGUGCCCGAUCGUGGGGGAUAACGAGGCGAAAGCUUUGCUAAUACCGCAUACGAUCUACGGAUGAAAGCAGGGGACCGCAAGGCCUUGCGCGGACGGAGCGGCCGAUGGCAGAUUAGGUAGUUGGUGGGAUAAAAGCUUACCAAGCCGACGAUCUGUAGCUGGUCUGAGAGGAUGAUCAGCCACACUGGGACUGAGACACGGCCCAGACUCCUACGGGAGGCAGCAGUGGGGAAUUUUGGACAAUGGGCGCAAGCCUGAUCCAGCCAUGCCGCGUGCAGGAUGAAGGCCUUCGGAUUGUAAACUGCUUUUGUACGGAACGAAAAGCCUUCUUUUAAUACAGGAGGGUCAUGACGGUACCGUAAGAAUAAGCACCGGCUAACUACGUG
rnacentral:rRNA from 1 species